UUCGCGGCCUAUCAGCUUGUUGGUGGGGUAGUGGCCUACCAAGGCGACGACGGGUAGCCGGCCUGAGAGGGCGACCGGCCACACUGGGACUGAGACACGGCCCAGACUCCUACGGGAGGCAGCAGUGGGGAAUAUUGCGCAAUGGGCGAAAGCCUGACGCAGCGACGCCGCGUGGGGGAUGACGGCCUUCGGGUUGUAAACCUCUUUCAGCAGGGACGAAGUUGACGUGUACCUGCAGAAGAAGCGCCGGCUAACUACGUGCCAGCAGCCGCGGUAAUACGUAGGGCGCAAGCGUUGUCCGGAAUUAUUGGGCGUAAAGAGCUCGUAGGUGGCUGGUCGCGUCUGCCGUGAAGGCCCGCAGCUUAACUGCGGGUCUGCGGUGGAUACGGGCCGGCUAGAGGUAGGCAGGGGCAAGUGGAAUUCCUGGUGUAGCGGUGAAAUGCGCAGAUAUCAGGAGGAACACCGGUGGCGAAGGCGGCUUGCUGGGCCUUACCUGACGCUGAGGAGCGAAAGCGUGGGGAGCGAACAGGAUUAGAUACCCUGGUAGUCCACGCUGUAAACGUUGGGCGCUAGGUGUGGGGGUCUUCCACGACUUCCGUGCCGGAGCUAACGCAUUAAGC
rnacentral:rRNA from 1 species